rnacentral:sRNA from 1 species
AGAGCUGCCGCCAUUUUGCGGGAAGAGGAGCCGCUGUACCUGCAGUGCUGCUUUUCUUGCCUAGACUCUAGGAACUAUCCGAGCUCCACUCCCCACAACAUACUCAAAGGAACGGAGAGAACCAGGACCCCCCUGCGGGGACCCGGAACUGAUCUGACAGGAUGGCAUCUGAUGACUUUGACAUAGUGAUUGAGGCCAUGCUGGAAGCUCCCUAUAAAAAAGAAGAGGAUGAGCAACAAAGGAAAGAAGUUAAAAAGGAUUAUCCUAGCAAUACCACCAGCAGCACCAGCAACAGUGGCAAUGAGACCAGUGGAAGCAGCACCAUCGGGGAGACAAGCAAGAAGAAGAGGAGUCGGAGCCAUAGUAAAAGCAGGGAUAGAAAGCGCAGUCGUAGUCGAGAUCGGGAUCGGUAUAGACGGAGAAAUAGUCGGAGCCGAAGUCGAGGUCGGCAGCGUCGUCACCGUAGCCGUAGCUGGGAUCGUCGACAUAGUAGUGAGUCGCGAAGUCGGGACCAUCGUCGUGAGGAUCGUGUGCAUUACAGGAGUCCUCCACUUGCCACUGGUUAUAGGUAUGGACACAGUAAGAGUCCUCAUUUCAGAGAGAAGAGCCCAGUCAGGGAGCCAAUUGAUAAUCUGAGUCCUGAGGAGCGUGAUGCCCGCACAGUUUUCUGUAUGCAGUUAGCUGCCCGAAUUCGGCCUCGAGAUCUGGAGGACUUUUUCUCUGCUGUAGGCAAGGUUCGCGAUGUACGUAUCAUCUCAGAUCGGAACUCACGUCGUUCUAAGGGCAUUGCCUACGUGGAAUUCUGUGAAAUCCAGUCUGUGCCACUGGCCAUUGGGCUGACUGGGCAGCGGUUGCUGGGAGUGCCUAUCAUUGUACAGGCUUCACAGGCAGAGAAAAACCGACUGGCAGCCAUGGCCAACAACCUGCAAAAGGGCAAUGGUGGACCAAUGCGCCUCUAUGUGGGUUCCCUGCACUUCAAUAUCACUGAAGACAUGCUCCGGGGCAUCUUUGAGCCCUUUGGUAAAAUUGAUAAUAUUGUCCUGAUGAAGGACUCGGAUACAGGCCACUCUAAAGGUUAUGGUUUCAUCACGGUGAGUCUCUAGUCUUUUAAUUUUUUUAUUUUACUUUGGGUUUGUCCACUUGUCUGAUUUUGCAGCUUAGCUUCAUCCUCCUCCUUUAGGAACUGUCUAAAUGACCCAUAAACCCUGGUGCCUGAAGCUUGGACUAGCCUUCUACCCCUUGAGAUGAGUGCAUUGCUUGAGAUCUUGGCUUUGCUCCUACACUCUGUCAGUGGCCCUGGUAUGGGGGUGUUCAGGAGUUCAACCAGCUUCCCUGGUGCUGCAACUUGGCUCUUUGGGUAAUAGUAACCAGGCUGCAGCUAAAAGGUUGGGGGUGUGAGGGAGGUUAGGUAUGGACUUUUAAAGACAUGCUUUAUAGAAUUGAUGUUUCUCAUAACAGGGAUGGGAAUAGGAAAUUAUACUUCCCUCUGGUGCUACCCCAUUUGAAGCAAUUUCUGCACCGAGAAGGAUCAGUUAUUAACGUAGCACUAUGGGGAGAAUAGUGAGGCCACCUAAUUAUGGGCAAGCUUCACCUUUUCCUGACAUUCCAACAAAAUGGUUGCCAAUUCCUAUAACUGGUUCUUCCAGCCCCAUGUGACUCCAGGCUGAGAACUGGCUGCCAGCCACAAAGUCUGAUAGAAGCUUGUAUUUUCUGGGCUUAAACCAGGCAGCAUACACUCCCACAGUUACCCACAGGGCAGAGGGCAGUAGGUUGUAUUCUGUCAUUGGAAUUGCUCACCUCAAAAAUAUCCAGUAAAGGCAAGCCAUGUAUAACACCUGCCUAGGAACUGUCAGUACCACAUGCCAGGCCCUAAGGCAGGUAAUGCUGCUAGCUAGCUAAACAAGCUAGCUGUGGUGUUGACAAUUCUGUGGUGGCAAGUAACUUUUGUAACCUUUUCUCGCUCUCUGUGUGACUGAGAUAUGGAAAGGCUUCUGUGGGGCAUUUUUGCCCUUGCAUUGUUGCCUUUUGGGUCAACAACCUUGACACUUAAACAAACAGCAGACUGGGAAUCCUCUUUGUACCAGUGUGUUGCUGGGUGCUGCUGAUAAAAGGGACUAGAGAGUAAAGGCCUUCUGGUCAGCAGGUCACUUAGUCAACAGCUCUCGUGUGUAUGUGGGGGUGUGCGUUCUGCCUUGCUGUCAGCACUAGGGUGUGUUCCCUCUUAAGCCUGGAAUUAGGAGUUCCAGAUUCCUAGUACUUAACUAAAAUUUGGCCAGGCGCGGUGGCUCACGCCUGUAAUCCCAGCAGUUUGGGAGGCCAAGGUGGGUGAAUCGCCUGAGGUCAGGAGUUCGAGACCAGCCUGACCAAUGUGGUGAAACCCCAUCUCUACU